GCAGACGCCUGUAGCUUAGCUGCACCUGUGCAGAGUGCCAAUCGCAGCCUCACGACCCCCAGGCAUCAGGCUGCCUGGAUGUUUUACUCCGUAACUAUCUGGAGCCUUUCCCUCCCAGGAGAACCUGGUCUCUCUCCUCACUUGGCUGCACUACACUAAGACCCCACCAGGUGGAAGGUGUUAACUGCAUACUGACCAUCAGCCCGUAGAGGCCAGACCAGCUGGAACCCAGAGCUGAUGACUGAGAUUCUCAAAUCAUCCCGCCAGCUCAUCAUCAACCAGAAAAAAUCAUCCGUGGAGGAAUCCCUCAGCCAUCCCGCACCACUGAGUGGUAAACUGGGAACCUCCCUGUGAAACCAAGGCUCAAUGGUAGCCCUACCUGGAACGGCAGUGUACUCUCCAUGUUGCUGCAAAUGGCUUUGUUCUGGUUGAGCCGUAUUGUGUGUAAAUGCACCACACCUUUAUCCAGGUCAGUGGACAUUUAGGUCGUUUCCAUGUCUUGGCUAUUGCAAAUAGUGCUGCUGUGAACACAGGGGUGCGUGCAUUUUUUUUUUUUUUUUUGGAUUACUGGUUUCUCCAGAGA
rnacentral:lncRNA from 1 species